GGCCCUAUCGUCUAGCCCGGUCCAGGACGCAUCCCUCUCACGGAUGAAACCGGGGUUCGAAUCCCCGUAGGGUCA
rnacentral:tRNA from 1 species